UCCCUAGUGGCUCAGAUGGUAAAGAAUCUGCCUGCCAUGCAGGAGACCUGGGUUUGAUACCUGGGUUGGGGAA
rfam:TPA: Bos taurus chromosome 8, whole genome shotgun sequence.